UACAGAGGUCCCGAGCGUUGUUCGGAUUCACUGGGCGUAAAGGGUGCGUAGGUGGCUUGGUAAGUUUGAUGUGAAAGCUCAGGGCUCAACCCUGAAAUGGCAUUGAAUACUACUGAGCUGGAGGUUUGGAGGGGGGACUGGAAUUCUCGGUGUAGCAGUGAAAUGCGUAGAUAUCGAGGGGAACACCAGUGGCGAAGGCGAGUCCCUGGACAACACCUGACACUGAGGCACGAAAGCUAGGGGAGCAAACAGG
rnacentral:rRNA from 1 species